rnacentral:rRNA from 1 species
CUUGGUCAUUUAGAGGAAGUAAAAGUCGUAACAAGGUUUCCGUAGGUGAACCUGCGGAAGGAUCAUUAGUGAACGCCCUCACGGGCUUAUAACUAUUCCAAACCUCUGUGAACCGUGCCCUUCGGGGCUAUUUUACAAACAUGGUGUAAUGAACGCCACAUAUCAUAGCAAAACAAAACUUUCAACAACGGAUCUCUUGGCUCUCGCAUCGAUGAAGAACGCAGCGAAAUGCGAUAAGUAAUGUGAAUUGCAGAAUUCAGUGAAUCAUCGAAUCUUUGAACGCACCUUGCGCCCUCUGGUAUUCCGGAGGGCAUGCCUGUUUGAGUGUCAUGUAGACUCAAUCCCUCGGGUUUCCGAGGAGAUUGGACUUGGGUGUUGCCGCUCUGCCGGCUCGCCUUAAAAGACUUAGCGGGAUAGCACCGUAGUCGGCGUAAUAAGUUUCGUCGGUGAAGGUUGUGAUGACUGCUACAAUCGCCCUCGGGCAAUUUUUGACUCUGACCUCAAAUCAGGUAGGACUACCCGCUGAACUUAAGCAUAUCAAUAAGCGGAGG